rnacentral:rRNA from 1 species
UACGGAGGAUGCGAGCGUUAUCCGGAUUUAUUGGGUUUAAAGGGUGCGUAGGCGGAUCGUUAAGUCAGUGGUCAAAUUGAGGGGCUCAACCCCUUCCCGCCAUUGAAACUGGCGAUCUUGAGUGAAAGAGAAGUAUGCGGAAUGCGUGGUGUAGCGGUGAAAUGCAUAGAUAUCACGCAGAACCCCGAUUGCGAAGGCAGCAUGCCGGCUUCCUACUGACGCUGAAGCACGAAAGCGUGGGGAUCGAACAGG